rnacentral:rRNA from 1 species
GACGAACGCUGGCGGCGUGCCUAAUACAUGCAAGUGGAACGCAUUGGUAACACCGGACUUGCUCCAGUGUUACUAAUGAGUCGCGAACGGGUGAGUAACGCGUAGGUAACCUGCCUGAUAGCGGGGGAUAACUAUUGGAAACGAUAGCUAAUACCGCAUAAGAGGAGUUAACUCAUGUUAACUGUUUAAAAGAAGCAACGGCUUCACUAUCAGAUGGACCUGCGUUGUAUUAGCUAGUAGGUAGGGUAACGGCCUACCUAGGCAACGAUACAUAGCCGACCUGAGAGGGUGAACGGCCACACUGGGACUGAGACACGGCCCAGACUCCUACGGGAGGCAGCAGUAGGGAAUCUUCGGCAAUGGACGCAAGUCUGACCGAGCAACGCCGCGUGAGUGAAGACGGUUUUCGGAUCGUAAAGCUCUGUUGUAGGGGAAGAACGUGUGUAAGAGUGGAAAGCUUACACAGUGACGGUACCCUACCAGAAAGGGACGGCUAACUACGUGCCAGCAGCCGCGGUAAUACGUAGGUCCCGAGCGUUGUCCGGAUUUAUUGGGCGUAAAGGGAGCGCAGGCGGUUUAGUAAGUCUGAAGUUAAAGGCAUUGGCUCAACCAAUGUAUGCUUUGGAAACUGUUAGACUUGAGUGCAGAAGGGGAGAGU